rnacentral:rRNA from 1 species
UACGGGGGGGGCAAGCGUUGUUCGGAAUUACUGGGCGUAAAGGGCUCGUAGGCGGCCAACUAAGUCAGACGUGAAAUCCCCAGGCUCAACCUGGGAACUGCGUCUGAUACUGGUUGGCUUGAAUCCGGGAGAGGGAUGCAGAAUUCCAGGUGUAGCGGUGAAAUGCGUAGAUAUCUGGAGGAAUACCGGUGGCGAAGGCGGCAUCCUGGACCGGCAUUGACGCUGAGGAGCGAUAGCCAAGGGAGCAAACGGG